ensembl:lncRNA
AUGCACCUCACAGAGCUGGAAGAAAAGAACGUGGAACUGAAUAAUCAGCUGUCACAGUUUCAAUCUGCUCUUCAGCAGGCCGAACUGGUCUCUUCAAGCCGUGCAGGAAAACUUCAGGAGCUCAGCACCCAGAUCCAGGCCCUGCAGGAUGCAGUGACAGAGAAGGCAGCUCAGCAGGACACUCAAGAGAAGGAGCUGCUGCAGGAGCUGGAAAAGUCCCGAGUAAGAGAACAGAGCUUGAGGGACGCUAUGAAUGUGCUGCAGGUUGAGAUGUCUGGGCUGCGUCUGAGGCUCCAGAGCUCUGAGGAAAGAGCAGAGGCCAUGGCCACACACUGUGAGGCCAUGGAGAUGGAGCUGAGGAUGGCUCAGGCUGACAACAACCAAAUCAAGGCCUGCAAUCAGGAGCUGCAGACACUGUUGGAGGAAACUCAGCAAGCAUUAUGGAGGGCAGAACACCAGAAAAUCUUUCUAAGAACGGGCCUGAAGGAAGAGGCCACUGCCCUGAAGAAAGAGGCUGUGACUGUUCGUCAGGAGAUGGAAUAUCUUCGGAGGAAACUGGAGAGCCAGGAGAAGGAAAGGAAGGAUGUGCUGCAUGAACGGGAAUUGUGCCAACAGAAGCUGAGGGGUCUGGAAAAGAAGAUGGAAACGGGUGCACCUGACACGAAGAGUCGGAAGAAGAUAAUCCAGGAAUUGGAAGUGGAGGGGGAAGAUAUGCAAGAAGAGUUGGACCAUGGGACUGCUGCUGCCUUGAAGACGAGUGGAAGAGAAGAAAUCAAAGGGACAGAGAUUGGACAGCUUCUGACUUCUGCACUGAGGAAGAGCGAAAUGGCCAAAGGGACAUUGAAGAAAAAGAUAGUGAUGCUGCAGAAAAAAUCUCCUGACAACUGCAUGAGCCAGUCUCAUGUCCAGGUGCUGCAGGAAGAGCAGAAUGAGAAGAGGGCUUUAACAGAGACACUGCUCCAAACUCAGGGAGAGCUCAGCCAAGCGUGCCAGCAGGUCCAGCAGCUCAGGCAGGAGGUGAAAGAGCAGCAAGAGAAGGAACGGACCAUCAAGGCAAAGCUGCAAGCUGAGCUGCAGGAAGCUCACAAUGAAAUGCUGGCAGUGCAGAGGAGGCACAAGGAAGACCUUCAGGGCAUCAGAGAGGAGAUGAAUGUCCUCCUCAAACAGAGGGAUGCUCUACAAAAGCAGGUGGAUGAGUUGACAUCUCAGCUGGCAGCCUCCCGAGAGUUCCAGGAAAGCACAGUCCAGAGAGCCCAGCAAGAUGUGAGCAAGGCCCAGGAACAGUUGCAGCAGAAGAUGUUGGAGACUGAGCACAUCCAAAAGAGGCUGGAGGAGGCAGAACAAGAGAAGAAGGAGCUCCAAGUGCUGCUACAGAUAAUGGAGAAGGAAUCGAAACAAUGGGAAGAAGUGGCACGCCAAAAUUCAGAACUGCAAGCUUUCAUGCAGCUCCUAGACAGUGAAAAUGACAGGCUGAUUCUGUCUCUGGAGGAAAAGAAUGUGUGCCUCAGAUCACUGGAAGAAAAGAACCAGGCGCUGAAGGAUCAGCUGUCUCAGUUUCAUUCUGCUCUUCAGCAGGCCAAACUGGUCUCUUCAAUUUGUGCCAGGAAAACUGCAGAAGCUCAACACCCAGGUAAGCUGUGCACUCCAUCCUCUUCUCCAGGGACACACAACACCACCUUUGGCAUGCUAGUCCCAACCUCUUUCCCCUCCCAGCAGCAUCCACAUGUUCUUCCCAGGCCUGCUGCUGCUGCUGCACCCUCAGGCCAAGGCUGGAUCUGGUGUCUGCUGCCAAAGUUUUCCCCCAUUCUCUCCUGGGGCCCAGCAGGAAAUCUGGGAGCAGAAGCAGCAGCACACUCCUCUGGAGCUUCUCUGUCCCUCUGUUAGCAGUGCUGUCCCUGACAGGAUUGGUGCCUGUGCCAGGCACUGAGCAAUGUGGGGACACAGACGUGGCUAUGGCAGGCUGGGCAGGGCACUUCCACCACAGCCAGUUCAGCCCGUGUUCAGAGCUGCAGCCUCAAGGAUGCCCCUUGCCUCCCUUCCCCUGUUUUCUCUACCUUUGUCUCUACUGGAUUCCUGGUUCUGCACCUUCUGUUUCUGGUGUAUUUCUACCUGAAGUCAUUUCUCCUUCAAUGCUCUCCUCCCUACUGCCCGCUCUGCUGCCUCAGGAGCAGCCCAGUCCCUGAGGCUCUCUGCAUCCAUCUUCCAGAUCCAGGCCCUGCAGGAUGCAGUGACAGAGAAGGCAGCUCAGCAGGACACUCAAGAGAAGGAGCUGCUGCAGGAGCUGGAAAAGUCCCAAGCAGGAGAACAGAGCUUGAGGGACGCUGUGCAUGUGCUGCAGGUUGAGAUGUCUGAGCUGCGUCUGAGGCUCCAAAGCUCUGAGGAAAGAGCAGAGGCCAUGGCCACACACUGUGAGGCCAUGGAGAUGGAGCUGAGGAUGGCUCAGGCUGACAACAACCAAAUCAAGGCCUGCAAUCAGGAGCUGCAGACACUGUUGGAGGAAACUCAGCAAGGUACAACUUCUCUCCCAUCCAUUGCCCCAUCCUGUUCCACCAGCGGGGAUCUCUGAUCCCAUGCAGAGGUAAAGGCCUUUGCCCAGAGAUGGCAGACAGGAAAAACAACCAGCACGAGACUUAUCCAUCCAGGCGCCAGUCAAAGUUUAUCUCAAGGAUGAUGCUGUGGCUGGCGGUGCCAACUGGCUCUGCUGUGGCUGAUCCCAUACACAGCUGGUGCCUUUCAGGUGCUGUGUCUGUGCUAAGCAGCUGAAGCUGGAUGCCUCAGCUCAAUUCCCCCAAAUUUCAGGCCCUGUCAAAGCCUCCAGGCUAUUGGCCUCUCUGGAGCAGGGCUGCACAGGCAUCCCAGCUGCUUUGUCUCUCUUGGAUUGUUC